rfam:Blumeria graminis f. sp. hordei DH14, WGS project CATH01000000 data, contig: 005530
UCCCUCGUGGCGCAAUUGGCUAGCGCGUUCGACUGUUAUACAGUAUCAUCGAGAGGUUGGUGGUUCGAGCCCACCCGAGGGAG